rnacentral:rRNA from 1 species
UACAGAGGGUGCGAGCGUUGUCCGGAAUCACUGGGCGUAAAGGGCGCGUAGGUGGCGGCCCAAGUCUGUGGUGAAAGCUCGCCGCUUAACGGCGAGUCGGCCACGGAGACUGGGUGGCUCGAGCACUGUAGGGGCAGAUGGAAUUCCGGGUGUAGCGGUGGAAUGCGUAGAGAUCCGGAAGAACACCAGUGGCGAAGGCGGUCUGCUGGGCAGUUGCUGACACUGAGGCGCGACAGCGUGUGGAGCAAACAGG